rnacentral:tRNA from 3 species
GGCCGGCUGGCUCAAUGGUAGAGCGUCAGUCUCCUAAACUGAAGGUUCUGGGUUCGAGUCCCAGGUCGGUCG